UACGAGAGGCCCAAACGUUAUUCGGAUUUACUGGGCUUAAAGAGUUCGUAGGCGGCUUGGAAAGUGGGGUGUGAAAUCCCUCGGCUCAACCGAGGAAUUGCGCUCCAAACUCCCAAGCUUGAGGAGGCUAGAGGUGAGCAGAACUGAUGGUGGAGCGGUGAAAUGCGUUGAUAUCAUCAGGAAUACCGGAGGCGAAGGCGGCUCACUGGGACCUUUCUGACGCUGAGGAACGAAAGCUAGGGGAGCAAACGGG
rnacentral:rRNA from 2 species